rnacentral:lncRNA from 1 species
UGAAAAUCCCAUAAAGGAUUUUGCACAUGAUUCCCAUUCCUCUGCAGGAAGAGAAGAGCAAACCAACGUCAGAAAUGGCCAACAGGAUAAAAUUCUAAGGAACAAGAUAGAAAUGAAUGAACCUCAGACUAACUAAUGAGGACCACAAGGGUGAGUGAAGCAAAGAUAAAUGUGUGAAGGAAAAAGCA